GGCUGACCAAGGCUCGGCAUCGGCUCUCGGUGUCGCGUGGAAAACAUCUUUCGAGGUUUGGUAGGAGAAAUUCAGCACGUGUGGGUGUGAGGCGACUCUUGGCAGUGGGAACGAUCUGGAAGCUUCCCGAGCAUGCUUGCGUCCUCCGCCUCCCCGCACCGGCCGCGUUGCCGGCCUGCCCGCCGUUACGGGGCUGUUUGCAUUCGGAAGACAACUGUAUGUGCCCUCCAGUGUGUUCGGCCGCCCGGGCUUGACACUGGAGAUGGAGGGGGACAUCGUGGCGCUCUCUGCCCGCCUGGACUGGCUCCCGGACCGGGGAAGCGGACAGUUCUCCUGAAAGACAGCAGACCUCAGCCCCAUGUCCCUACCAGGGGGAGAGGCCACUGUGUGAACACUGGGCGAGGAUCAGGGCUCUCCACCCAGAACUGGGACAAGACCAACUCUGCCCACACCUCCGUUCCAGCUCCCCAGCACCACCCUGAUCUGUGUCCAAAUCAGCUGCCGUGGGACGCCUGGGCCAUCGCCAUGGACAGCUGCCAGAAGACCCCCCUAAUCACCAGAACCAUGAGACCCAGACGAGGAUCAUGGCAGUGGGAGGAAGGGUGCUCAAUGGCUGAGGGGCAGCAGGCAGUUGACCCAAGCUGGGUAUUCAGGGCUGGCCAACUCGACUCAAGCAACCGGGGAAGAGCAUGAUGGAGGAUGUCAUGGAGGAGUGGGCUUGGACUAACUCACCCGGGCACCUUCCAGGGCUUUGCUGAGUGGGGUCACCUCGUGCUCCCGGUGCUCCUCAGAAGCUGCUGCAGAGCCUCUCACGGGAAUUCUGCAAGUGACGCAGAAGCCAUCGGGCGCCUCAUCCUCGUCCUCCUCCUCGGG